GCCUGGCUAGCUCAGUCGGUAGAGCAUGAGACUCUUAAUGUCAGGGUCGUGGGUUCGAGCCCCACGUUGGGAA
rnacentral:tRNA from 1 species